GACGCUUUGCUUACAUACAUACAUAUAGCAAGAUGGGGUUUUUCCUCGGGUCGGUACAAAAGAAACAGAAAAGGUAAGGACUCUGCCAUGUCCUUCCUAAAAUCUCAAAAAGAAACUCCGACCUCUAACAUCGUAUGAGCACAAAAACCCUCCCAUCACGAGCGUCAACUAUCUACACCAAAAAGUGAUCUAGCUCCUACUCCUCGCGCGCGAUCUCACACCCAUCCCGGUGCGUCAGGUGGUGGCGGCGGCAGCAUCCCCCGCAUCACUCCAUCCCGUCGUAUGUGCACAGACAAAAACUCUUGUAUGACCGGGCCCCCAGCCAGGCCGAUGUCAUACAUGACUACGCAUCGUACUCAGAUAAAAGUCAACCCGGGUACCGAGGGACAGUCUAUCUCAGUCAUCUCCACCUCGACGUCAGACGGAAUACCGUAAAACACGCCACGCGAAACAGCAGGCAGCGGCAUAGUGCUAAUCUGAAAUGUUAUCCCCAAAAGGGGUGAGUACAACCACUUAGCAGAUAGGGAAAUCCAAUAACAACUCAGUGCACCAUGCAUACCAUCUUACAAUGCAGGUAUUUCUUACCUUUUCAACGUCAAGCGUAUUCAUGCAUCAUCAUGGCAUACGUAUCAUCAUGGCAUCUCACAUAUCAUUAUCACAUCAUCAUAAACCAUGCAUCACCAUGUAUAUCACAUCAUAUCAUCAUUGGCCAUGCAUCACCAUGCAUAUCACAUCAUAUCAUCAUUGGCCAUGCAUCACCAUGCAUAUCAGAUCAUCAUUAACCAUGCAUCACCAUGCAUAUCACAUCAUCAUUAACCAUGCAUCACCAUGCAUAUCACAUCAUAUCAUCAUUGGCCAUGCAUCACCAUGCAUAUUACAUUAUCAUUAACCAUGCAUCACCAUGCAUAUCACAUCAUAUCAUCAUUGGCCAUGCAUCACCAUGCAUAUCACAUCA
rnacentral:lncRNA from 1 species